rnacentral:lncRNA from 1 species
GUGCUCACCAUGACUGUUGACGGUAACUAGAUGGCAUCAACCAAGGCUACGAUAAUAUUUCAUAAAUGUGUGAUUAAAUAAAAGUAUAAUUUUGUUUCUGCCUGUCGGUUUUAGGUUAUUCUACAUACAAAAUUCUGGACCAAGUACAGCGUUGCAGCAGUUGUUUUUUAGUUUGGUGGCAUUCUUUCUGUCCACGCUGGCUCUCCAUAGCGCUCGGCUCUUCACCGCCUCACCCAAAGACUACUUUUUUCUGGGAGCAUCACCAAACGCUUACAGUACCCCUGAGAUUUGGCUGACCAUAUGUGUGACCACCUGUAUUGCUGUCCUUCCCUCAAUAACAAUACGGGCCUUAGGUGUUGUGCUAGCAAACCCCAACAAACAUAAGAUCCGCAGCUCGAAUGAGCCUGUCGAGCUGAAGUCGUGGUUUCAGAGAGGUACCCUUCAGCGUCGUUCGUCCUAUGCGAUGUCCCAAGGAAAAGGUUUUGGAAAGUUAAUCACCACAGGAGUUGGGCUUCCCUCUACGGCACCCCCACAGGACAGGAGAGUUACGGCAGACAGUCUGAAGAAAGAAUCUCCACAGGGUUCACUUAUAGAAAUGAAUAGUGGUGAUGUGGCAUGCUAGCAUCUUCAGUGUGUUUUGUCAUGCGCUGAAAAUGUGAUAUAAGUAGCAAAUAUUUUAACUAAAAAAGUCCAGAAACCAAGGGAUUUUGGUGCAUUUCUAAAAAUGGAGGCCCAGAACACACCUAAUCUAAUUGAUGGUGACUAUUUUGCCAAUACUUAAUGUUAUGGGGAGGGUUUGAACAUUUUAAAAUGCAAAAAAAAAGGUUGUAAAUCUCUGAUUUUUCAUAACAUUAUGAUCAUCAUAGCACCAAAUGGUUGACAAAACGUGAAUCCCAUCAUCUUUAGUUCGUAAUGUUAGAGCUUUUAAAUAUCCUUGUAUUUUU